CGGGGCUGUGGCGGCGCCGGGCGCUUGGCAACGGGCGGCAGCGGGAGACAACGGCGCCUCAGGCGGCACCGCCCCCGGGCCGGGCCGGGGGCACAGGGCGGGGACAGUCCUGGGCUCGGUGCCCGCAGGAACGCGGCUGUCUGCGGGUCACGGGGGCCUGGGGCCGGUUACCGUGUGCGCAGAGGCGGGUGUCAGACCCAGAGCCAUUGGCAGCGCCUCAGAGUCCCCCUGGGCUCAGCUGCUCCCUGCCAGCAUCAGCCCGAGCCACGGCUCCGCCGGGCCCGGGGUCACACAGCCCGCCUGCUGCUGGUGACACCAAAUAGUUCUGGGGUCACACAGCAGGACAGCAUGCCUGCUGCUGGUGACACCAAAUAGUUCUGGGGUCACACAAUGGGACAGCCCACCUACUGCUGGUGGCACCACAUAAGAGAGGUCUCGGACACACACACUCACCACCACAGUGUGUGUCCUGUUUCUGAACUAUCUUCACAAUUAACAGAAUGAAAAAAUCCCUUUCUGCAGAUCAAGCCCAUCCACUGACAUCAAUUUUUGCCUUCGAUCUGCUCAGCCAACAAAAGGAUACCAAAUCCUGUUAUUUCCUGUUUACUGUCCUGCUGGCACGUUCAAGCUUGCUGUCCCUCCUGAGCUGUGGAAGUUUCAACAGAGGACAGAGAGUGGUUUAACCAGAUUUACCCAGAGCAUCUCCCCAACCAGAACGGCUCUAGCAAAUGGAGGUGGCAGUUUCACAUGUUGUAAAAUGAAACAAAAAAAUUAGUCACCUUACCACGUCUUGUGAAAAAAGUUGUAAGUAGUUACUAUCAGAUUUCCUGAAGAUGAAUAAAGAUCCUCCCUUUUCUUAUUUCCUUAAAUACUUAGAAUAAUUCAACUUAGUAGUUACUUCUGAUUUAUAUUAAGUGAAAACUAAACUUAGAACAGAUUGAUCCUCUACAUUCUGGCUGAUGUGCUGCAAACUAUUGCGGAUAAUCUACUAACAGCCCUCUUCUACCCCCAUUUCACCCAGGUGUAGCAAUGGUCUCAAUAUUAACAUGUAAACAACCCUGCCACCUAACCACUAUCAUCCAUGCUCUUCCAGAAAAACAAAUUUUAUCAGGCAAAUUCAGAUGCAGAUUGCACUGGCUCAAGCCAGUUCUCCUUAUCAUUAAUGACCAGAACUGUCUCCCAGUUCUGCAAAUGUGGACCCAGGCACCUCACGCAGUUCUGGGGUGAUUGCUUUUAUCUGUGCCCUGUUUUCACUCCUGAGGACAGCAGCAGCUCAUGUGUAGUUUAUUUAUGCUUUUUUUCUUUUUAAACCCCAGACACCGUUUUUUAGCUGUUGACAUUAAGACUCUGUGUCUUGGUAGCUAAAUAAACGAACCUCAGGCUAUUCAGUC